GACGAACGCUGGCGGCGUGCUUAACACAUGCAAGUCGUACGGUAAGGCCCUUUCGGGGGUACACGAGUGGCGAACGGGUGAGUAACACGUGAGUAACCUGCCCACAACUUUGGGAUAACGCUAGGAAACUGGUGCUAAUACUGGAUAUGUGCUCCUGCUGCAUGGUUGGGGUUGGAAAGCUCCGGCGGUUGUGGAUGGACUCGCGGCCUAUCAGCUUGUUGGUGGGGUAGUGGCCUACCAAGGCGGCGACGGGUAGCCGGCCUGAGAGGGUGAACGGCCAAAUUGGGACUGAGAUACGGCCCAGACUCCCAAGGGAGGCAGGAGUGGGGAAUAUUGCACCAUUGGCGCAAGCCUGAUGCCGCCACGCCGCGGGCGGGAUGACGGGCUUCGGGUUGGAAACCGCUUUCAGCAGGGACGAAGCUUUUUGUGACGGUACCUGCAGAAGAAGCACCGGCUAACUACGUG
rnacentral:rRNA from 1 species